ensembl:lncRNA
UGAAGCUGAUUAGUUGUAUGUGGACAUAUAAAUAUCAGAAGGCUAACACAAUGUAGCUCUUCAGGGACAUAACAAUAUUUACUGGCAGCACAUUUUUUCAUGUAAAUAACCAGAUUUAUAUACACAGGCACAAAUGAGAGAAAAUUAUCAACAAAUGUUAGAAGCUAAUACAGCAGCUGACUAAUGCCAAAAGCAGGGAACUGUCAUGUGAUGCCUUUUGUGCAAGAGUGUGGGAAGGAAAAAUAAUUGUAUUCCCUUAGAAUUACACAUUCUUUCUUCCUCACUCGCCAAUGUUUUUUUAUUUCUUACAGCAUUCAUUCAUUUUUUUUACAGUAUUUUUAAAAUUUCCUAUACUCUGAGCAGAUGAAAUGUGCUGCUGUAUUGUUUGAGACCGUCAGAGAAAUAAUAUGGUAGCAGUGACAAAUGGAAAAAAAGAAUUAAUUGUUUUUCUUGAAAAGGGACAUAACUGCUGUGGCUGCUGUAAAAAAACCACAAUAGAUUUUAGGAGAAGCAGCUUCACACUAAACCUUCAGAUAAACCAGUGUGAUAAAUCCACCUCCUGUGCUUGUUUUUAAUUCAUUCAUUUUAUACGGAUACAUGAGGUAAUCUUUCUGGCAGAAAAACACAGAAGACAUAUCACAAAGAAAACCUUUUAACAGAGGCUGGGUGCUGUAAUAAGAGCCAUAAGAUCUCCAAUUGACCUUCCUCACUGAAAAUCGAGUCAGAAGAAGCACUGAGUGGUGGUGGUCUUGGAUCCUCAGUUGUGCCCUUUGUGCAACAGUGAUGAAGAGAAAAUCUUUGCAUGGGUUUGUGGUAAAACCAUCCAGAUAAGCAGGGGAACCUUCUGGCACGUAAGCAAACAAAACCAAAUCACAAUAAAUAGCCUCAGACAAUUUUGGGCUUCUAAGUGAAAUUUGUAUUUUGCGUACAAGUCAAUUCCUGCCCUUUUAUUGUUGAAACAAAGGAAGAAUAAAAUAAAAAUAUUUACAUUAACAACAUGCAGUGGCGUCACUGAGCCAGCAUCCCUAUCAUCCCCCUCAUGUUUGCACAGGCCUAUUUUCUUCCAGGACCAGCUUUCCAGUAACAUCAGGAAUAGGCAUCUCCAAAGCUCAUAUAUGUAAGGGAUUAAUGAGGUGUUUCCAAAACCCUACAUCUUUCAUGCUCUCAGGCGCUCUGUAUUCAGUAGGUGAUGAUGUUACACGUUUAACCAAAGGGCACAAAGACUCAUCCACUUUCCUUGAGCUUACUUGUUGUAUGAGGGCCUUAAUUCUGCUGGGAAACCAGAGGGCCUCGAUGCACUUCCAACCAAGGUGUGGUAACCAGCCCACAGCACGGGGUUGGAACCAGGGAUCUUUAAGGUCCCUUCCAACCCCACGUGAUCUGUUUCCCUGACAGCCCCCUUUCUCCCUUCCUGCGGCACCCCUGUGAUCACAGACCCCGCAGGUCAGCAGAACGAGGUGCAGUUGGUGUAUGGGGUCACUAACCUGAAAGAAGCGGUGACUGCCUGCCCUUCUGCUAUACGCUGCUAUGUACUCAGCAUCCUGGGUGAUGAGAAGCAGGAGUUUCCACAGUUCCACAGUUUAUGCUUACUCUUUUACCACAUAAAAGGAGUCAUUUUGUUCUAAAGGUAGUUUAAAAGUCAGAUUUGCAAGCGUCACUCAAAAACACUUCGAACCUCCACGCUCCAGGCUGCUGUUUAGCUUUUCAGCCCUUUUUGCUGGGGAACAGGACCAGAUCAGUUUUCGCAUGAGGUAGAACAUCUGGACAAACAUCUCUCGGUAUCAGUACCACCGCGGCAGCUGAUGCACGGACCGGCGGCCCCAGGCUGGGCCGCCUCACCGGGCACACGGAACGGUACCGGGAGGGAACCUCCCGCCUCUCCCUCAGAGCCCGCCGCGCAUGCGCACUGCUAUCCC